GGCUGAUACCGCCCAAGAGUUCAUAUCGACGGCGGUGUUUGGCACCUCGAUGUCGGCUCAUCACAUCCUGGGGCUGAAGCCGGUCCCAAGGGUAUGGCUGUUCGCCAUUUAAAGUGGUACGCGAGCUGGGUUUAGAACGUCGUGAGACAGUUCGGUCCCUAUCUGCCGUGGACGUUUGAGAUUUGAGAGGGGCUGCUCCUAGUACGAGAGGACCGGAGUGGACGAACCUCUGGUGUUCCGGUUGUCACGCCAGUGGCAUUGCCGGGUAGCUAUGUUCGGAAUAGAUAACCGCUGAAAGCAUCUAAGCGGGAAACUAGCCUCAAGAUGAGAUCUCACUGGGACCUUGAGUCCCCUGAAGGGCCGUCGAAGACUACGACGUUGAUAGGUUGGGUGUGUAAGCGCUGUGAGGCGUUGAGCUAACCAAUACUAAUUGCCCGUGAGGCUUGACCAU
rnacentral:rRNA from 1 species